CAGAGCUCUGCCAUGAUCCCCACAAACUUUGGGAAAGUUCGAAGAUGGUUCCUCAGUUUCUUGGACUUCUGCUUUUCUGGAUUUCAGCCUACAGAUGUGACAUCUUGCUGACUCAGACUCCACCAACCCUAUCUGUGUCUCCAGGAGAUAGAGUCUCUUUUACCUGCAGGGCCAGCCAGGGUAUUAGCGAUUACUUACACUGGUAUCAACAAAAAUCACAUGAGUCUCCAAGGCUUCUCAUCAAAUAUGCUUCUCAGUCCAUUCCUGGGAUCCCCUCCAGGUUCAGUGGAAGUGGAACUGGGACAGAUUUUACUCUCAGCAUCAAUAGUGUAGAGCCUGAAGAUGUUGGAUUGUAUUACUGUCAGCAAAGUUCCAGCACUCCUCCCACAGUGUUGCAGAGCAUAGCAAAAACCACCAAGAAAGCAGAACUGUGA